rnacentral:rRNA from 1 species
GAAUUUUAUUUAAUAUGUUAUAACUAUUAAAAAAUUUUGGCUGGGGCGGCUAAAAAAUAUUUUAAACUUUUUAAAAAUAAAAUGAUCCAUUAUUAAUGAUUAUAUGUUAAAUACUCUAGGGAUAACAGCGUUAUAUUUUUUGAUAGAUCAUAUUGACAAAAAAGUUUGCGACCUCGAUGUUGGAUUAGGAUACUUUUUUAAUGUAGAUAUUAAAAUAAGAAGUUUGUUCAACUUUUAAAAUCCUACAUGAUCUGAGUUCAGACCGGAGAACA